rnacentral:rRNA from 1 species
UACAGAGGUCUCGAGCGUUAGGCGGAAUCACUGGGCUUAAAGCGUGUGUAGGCGGAUCGGUAAGUACCUUGUGAAAUCCCACAGCUUAACUGUGGAACUGCUUGGUAUACUGCCGGUCUUGAGCCAGCUAGGGGCUACCGGAACAAAUGGUGGAGCGGUGAAAUGCGUAGAUAUCAGGAGGAACACCGGUGGCGAAGGCGGGUCUCUGGGCCGAUACUGACGCUGAGGAGCGAAAGCGUGGGGAGCGAACAGG